GCUGAGAUAGUCUAACUAGACACCUGAUUUCGACUCAGGAGAACUUAACCACUAAGUCCCAGUU
rnacentral:tRNA from 1 species